rnacentral:tRNA from 1 species
AAAGGGAGACCUAAUUCAGGUAGGAGACGAAAAAAAAGUAGUCCCAACCAAGAAUCAAUCCCAAAAGGUCGGAGCGAGGCGAAAUUGGCUUUCAAACUAGGUUCUGGGUUCACACAAGACCUGAAUCAGGAACAAGGGCUAUUAGCUCAGGUGGUUAGAGCGCACCCCUGAUAAGGGUGAGGUCCCUGGUUCGAGUCCAGGAUGGCCCACCUGCACAGGUGGCAAAAACAAAGAAAAAAAGCUCCGAAUCAGCACCUUAUCUUACUCAUAUAGUAAGAGAGAAUGCUGGCUCUGAGUUCAGAGUCCAGAGGAACCUUGAAAACUGCAUAGAGCUAGGUGAAAAAGCCAAAAAAGAAGACCGCAAG